AGUCGACGGCAGCGCGGGGAGCUUGCUCCCUGGCGGCGAGUGGCGCACGGGUGAGUAAUACAUCGGAACGUGUCUUCUAGUGGGGGAUAACUGCCCGAAAGGGCAGCUAAUACCGCAUGAGACCUGAGGGUGAAAGCGGGGGAUCGCAAGACCUCGCGCUGGAAGAGCGGCCGAUGUCCGAUUAGCUAGUUGGUGAGGUAAAGGCUCACCAAGGCGACGAUCGGUAGCUGGUCUGAGAGGACGACCAGCCACACUGGGACUGAGACACGGCCCAGACUCCUACGGGAGGCAGCAGUGGGGAAUUUUGGACAAUGGGGGCAACCCUGAUCCAGCCAUGCCGCGUGCAGGAUGAAGGUCUUCGGAUUGUAAACUGCUUUUGUCAGGGACGAAAAGGGAUGCGAUAACACCGCAUUCCGCUGACGGUACCUGAAGAAUAAGCACCGGCUAACUACGUGCCAGCAGCCGCGGUAAUACGUAGGGUGCAAGCGUUAAUCGGAAUUACUGGGCGUAAAGCGUGCGCAGGCGGUUCUGUAAGAUAGAUGUGAAAUCCCCGGGCUCAACCUGGGAAUUGCAUAUAUGACUGCAGGACUUGAGUUUGUC
rnacentral:rRNA from 1 species